rnacentral:rRNA from 1 species
UGGGGAAUUUUGGACAAUGGGCGCAAGCCUGAUCCAGCAAUGCCGCGUGCAGGAUGAAGGCCUUCGGGUUGUAAAUUGCUUUUGUACGGAACGAAAAGCCCUGGGUUAAUACCCUGGGGUCAUGACGGUGCCGUAAGAAUAAGCACCGGCUAACUACGUGCCAGUAGCCGCGGUAAUACGUAGGGUGCGAGCGUUAAUCGGAAUUACUGGGCGUAAAGCGUGCGCAGGCGGUUUUGUAAGACAGAGGUGAAAUCCCCGGGCUCAACCUGGGAACUGCCUUUGUGACUGCAAGGCUAGAGUACGGCAGAGGGGGAUGGAAUUCCGCGUGUAGCAGUGAAAUGCGUAGAUAUGCGGAGGAACACCGAUGGCGAAGGCAAUCCCCUGGGCCUGUACUGACGCUCAGGCACGAAAGCGUGGGGAGCAAACAG